UGGCUCCGCCUAGUGUUUGGGUAUGA
rnacentral:piRNA from 1 species